CGGCGGUGACCCGCCCUCAACCGUGUGAUAUAAUGGCGUCUGGAUAAAACGACACACCGUGCCCGGCCCGCAGCCGAACGUUGGUCCCGCGCGAUGCGGCCCGUGAAUCCCGUCAGGUCCGGAAGGAAGCAGCGGUAAGCGGCAAACCGUAGGCGCCGCGGAAAAGCCUGCGAACGGCUGCGGACCGGGCAUGGUGUUUUUCUGGUUUUCGCCG
rnacentral:SRP_RNA from 1 species